rnacentral:rRNA from 1 species
GUUUGAUCCUGGCUCAGGAUGAACGCUGGCUGUGUGCCUAAUACACGCAUGUCGAACGAAGUACUUGUACUUAGUGGCAAAUGGGUGAGUAACACGUACCUAACUUGCCUUUUAGAUUGGGACAACCACGGGAAACUGUGGCUAAUACCAAAUAUGUAUAAUUAACAUAUGUUUUUUAUAUGAAAGGAAGCGAUUGCUUUGCUAAAAGAUAGGGGUGCGCUACAUUAGCUUGUUGGUAGGGUAAAAGCCUACCAAGGCUAUGAUGUAUAGUGGGAUCGAGAGGUUGAACCACCACACUGGGAUUGAGAUACGGCCCAGACUCCUACGGGAGGCAGCAGUAGGGAAUAUUCCACAAUGAGCGAAAGCUUGAUGGAGCGACACAGCGUGUAGGAUGAAUGCCUUAGGGUUGUAAACUACUGUUAUAAGAGAAGAAUAGCUAAAAAAGGAAAUGUUUUUAGUCUGACGGUAUCUUAUCAGAAAGCAGUUGCAAACUAUGUGCCAGCAGCAGCGGUAAUACAUAGACUGCAAGCGUUAUCCGGAAUUAUUGGGCGUAAAGCAUUCGUAGGUUGUUUAUUAAGUUUGGUGUUAAAAACAAAAGCUCAACUUUUGUUUGCAUUAAAUACUAAUAGACUAGAGUUAUAAAGAGGUUAAUGGAACUCCAUAUGAAGCGGUGGAAUGCGUAGAUAGGUGGAAGAACACCAAUGGCGAAGGCAAUUAACUGGAUAUACACUGACACUGAGGGAUGAAAGCGUGGGGAGCAAACAGGAUUAGAUACCCUGGUAGUCCACGCUGUAAACGAUGUUUGUUAAUCGGUGGUGAAAUCACUGAUACAGCUAACGCAAUAAACAAACCGCCUGAGUAGUAUGCUCGCAAGAGUGAAACUUAAAGGAAUUGACGGGGAGCCGCACAAGCGGUGGAGCAUGUGGUUUAAUUCGAAGAUACGCGAAGCACCUUACCAACAUUUGACAUCUUUUGCAAAGGCAUAGAGAUAUGCUGGAGGAUAACAAAAAGACAGGUGGUGCAUGGCCGUCGUCAGCUCGCGCCGUGAGGUGUUGGGUUAAGUCCUAUAACGAGCGCAACCCUUUUCUUUAGUUACUAACAUUUAGUUGAGCACUCUAAAGAUACUGCCUAGGUAACUAGGAGGAAGGAGGGGAUGAGGUAGGUCAUCAUGCCUCUUACAUGUUGGGUUACACACGUGCUACAAUGGCAAAUACAAAGAGAAGCAAAAUCGUGAGGUGGAGCAAAUCUGUAAAAUUUGUCUCAGUUCGGAUUGGAGUCUGCAACUCGACUCCAUGAAGUAGGAAUCGCUAGUAAUCCUAGAUCAUCAAUGCUAGGGUGAAUACGUUCUCGGCUCUUGUACACACCGCCCGUCAAACCAUGGGAGUUGGUAAUACCCAAAGCUAGUUAGUUAACCAUUUAUUUGGAGGCAACUAUCUAAGGUAGGAUCAAUGACUGGGGUUAAGUCGUAACAAGGUAACC